GACGAACGCUGGCGGCGUGCCUAACACAUGCAAGUCGAACGGGGUAGAGAGCUUCGGUUUUCUACUUAGUGGCGAACGGGUGAGUAACGCGUGAGAAACCUGCCUUUCAGUGGGGGACAACAGUUGGAAACGACUACUAAUACCGCAUAAUGUUAUUUGGGGGCAUCCUUGAAUAACCAAAGAUUUAUUGCUGAAAGAUGGUCUCGCGUCUGAUUAGCUAGAUGGCGGGGUAACGUCCCACCAUGGCGACGAUCAGUAGCCGGUCUGAGAGGAUGAACGGCCACAUUGGGACUGAGAUACGGCCCAGACUCCUACGGGAGGCAGCAGUGGGGAAUAUUGGGCAAUGGGGGAAACCCUGACCCAGCAACGCCGCGUGAAGGAAGAAGGCCUUCGGGUUGUAAACUUCUUUUACCAGGGACGAACAAAUGACGGUACCUGGAGAAAAAGCAACGGCUAACUACGUGCCAGCCGCCGCAGUAAGAC
rnacentral:rRNA from 1 species